rfam:Astyanax mexicanus Tnplaced_Scaffold4062, whole genome shotgun sequence.
GUCAGAAUGGCCGAGCGGUCUAAGGCGCCAGACGGAAGGUUGUGCACCUUCUCCAAAACAGAGAGAUUUCUGGUCUCCGAAUGGAGGCGUUGGUUCAAAUCCCACUUCUGACA